rnacentral:snRNA from 1 species
GUACUCGCUUCGGCAGCACAUAUACUAAAAUUGGAAUGAUACAGAGAAGAUUAGCAUGGCCCCUGCACAAGGAUGACACGCAAAUUCAUGAAGCAUUCUAUAUUUUU